rnacentral:sRNA from 1 species
CCCUAGCCCCGAUGGGAGGGAAAAUCCUUUUUGUGCCGGGGUUCGGCAUAAAAGAUUGGAAGGAACAGCGGGAAAUAGC